GACGAACGCUGGCGGCGUGCUUAACACAUGCAAGUCGAACGGAAAGGCCCUGCUUUUGUGGGGUGCUCGAGUGGCGAACGGGUGAGUAACACGUGAGUAACCUGCCCUUGACUUUGGGAUAACUUCAGGAAACUGGGGCUAAUACCGGAUAGGAGCUCCUGCUGCAUGGUGGGGGUUGGAAAGUUUCGGCGGUUGGGGAUGGACUCGCGGCUUAUCAGCUUGUUGGUGGGGUAGUGGCUUACCAAGGCUUUGACGGGUAGCCGGCCUGAGAGGGUGACCGGCCACAUGGGGACUGGGAUACGGCCCAGACUCCUACGGGAGGCAGCGGUGGGGAAUAUUGCACAAUGGGCGGAAGCCUGAUGCAGCAACGCCGCGUGCGGGAUGACGGCCUUCGGGUUGUAACCGCUUUCGCCUGUGACGAAGCGUGAGUGACGGUAAUGGGUAAAGAAGCACCGGCUAACUACGUG
rnacentral:rRNA from 1 species